CAGCAUGCUGAGAUAGUGUACGAAAUCAAAGGACAGCAGGCAGGUAUAGGGCUUUAUCGCUCUCUUCCUAUCUAGGCCAGCUGGUAGCAAAUUAGAUUAUACACCUGCAGCCUCCUGGAGAGACACUAAAUUAUCUGUCUGUGUACUCUUCUGUCUGGCUUUCUUGAUGUGCUGUUAAGGAGGCUCUGCAGCUCCUGCCUCUCUAGCUGCGGUGUGUCUGUCCAGUAACACAGACAGAGCUGAGCACUCCCUGAGCCUCUUUCAGUACCCUUCCGCCUCAAAUGGUGUUGUUCAUCGUGGGCUGUCACACAUGUAAUCUCAGCCUGAGGACAGUCUGAGUUAACGCUGGAGGAAGAGGGAAGUGUGUUAUUUCAGUUCUCUGUGAAGAGCCUGUAAGAAUUCAUGAAGUGCUGUUGUGCAGGAGGAGGCUGUCUCCUUGCAGCUCCUACACAGAUUGCAUUUGUUUAACCUAUCUAUGAUACACCAUGUGUCUCUGCAUUGUUUUAGCCUCUGUGUCACUCUUGUUCUGACAAAGCAGCAAAGAUGCUCCACCAGAGAGCACAUAAAGGUGAGGAAGUGAAGGACUUGGAUUUUCAUGCUUUCCCCUGCUGUGAUGCUUUGUUCAGCAGAGGCCGGACUCAUAGGUAAGCUUGUUUUCAUUUCAUUGCACUUUAAAUGGCAGGUAGUGGAAGAAGUGGCAGCGAUGAUACACACACAUCGUGAUGCUGUGCUAAGCUGCCACGAGUACUGCGGUACGAUGAUCUCAAGCAGAUAUUGAUGGCUGUUGCAUUUCUCUAUAGAAGGGACUGGGGAUGUGAGAUAGGACCUCCAGCUGGUACGGGCAAACUUACCCUCUCCUCAGCCACUAAGGAUGUGGUGCAGGACCAUGUCUGAGACCUUGCACAAGUCCUUCUGAACCACAUUUUGAGUGAUCCCUCCUGAGAAAGACUUUGCUUUGUGAGUUUGAGUUGGUGCCUCGGCACGGUGGUGGAAUUGCUGGAUCAAAUGAGAGAGGCCCGUGAGUUUGGCACAGAGCUCGUGAUGCAUUUGGCAGCGCUGGUGUUGGGUCAGGGUAAGAAGUAAGGGCCAUAAACGCGGAUCUCACUCUGCCCAACCAACGUACCGCCGCCGCACCGAGCUGCAGCCGGCUAACUGCAAUGCACCACUCCGGCACCCGGCCCCGCACGCCGCCCCG
ensembl:lncRNA